rnacentral:pre_miRNA from 1 species
UAUGUACUUCCUUGGUCCCAAAUUUUUUGUCUUAGAUUUGUCUAGGUAUGAAUGUAUCUAGUCAUAUUUUAGUAUUUUGAUACAUGCAUUUUAGAUAAACCUAAGACAAAAAAUUUGAAACGGAGGGAAUAGUAA